GCCGCGGAGCUGUUCGGCUCUCCGGGUGCUGAGUCCGAGCCCGUCGCCCCCGGAGCCGGAGGAUGGGAGCCGAGCGAGCGGCGCGGCGCUGAGCGGCCAGGCGAGGGUGCAGCCCGUCCGCCUCCCCUCCCCACCCGCCAGUCCGCGAGAACAUCUCUGAAGUCUUCGUUGAAGGCAGAGCACCAACCCUUGCUGUGUUUCCCGAUUGACCCCAGAGCAGCAGUCUAACGCGGGCUACCGGUUCAUCACAUCUCUUCUAGCGACUGAAUAAACUUCUCAGUUUGUUCUGAUCUUGCUGGAUGGGAUGGAAAAUUGGUAAACCAGAGACCAAUCUCCUGAACCACUUCUGGUGUUCUACAG